AAUUUAACAUAAUUCUGAAACUUUUUAUUGAUUUUUUUGUACAAAAACAAGUAUUGUUUUGCAAGAGAACUGAUUUCAGGUGCUUCUGAUGCAUCAGAUACUGAAAAGUCCCCAUAACAAGCCCUCUCUUACUCUCAAUUCAGGGUCAUCUUGCUAACUAGCAGCAGGUGUUCCUCAUUACCUGGAGCUCCUCUGGAGGCAAUGCUGGUAUCCGAAUGGGAGCGAAUAUGGCUUUUCUUUGCCCCACUGGUGACGGUGAGUGUCUGCCCCUCUGAGAAGCUGGACCUGCGGAGGACACUGGACAGCUGGCUAACCCAGGAGAUAGAGGUUGCAGUGAGCUGAGAUUGCACNNNNNNNNNNNNNNNNNNNNNNNNNNNNNNNNNNNNNNNNNNNNNNNNNNNNAAAAAAAAAAAAAAAAAAAAAAAAAUGCAAGCCUUUCAGCUCACAAAAAUGGCUAAGUGAAAAAGUUUGCUGUAGAGGGCUACAUCCUGCUGAGCUCCAGGGACCCAGCAUAGAUGUGGAUAAUUCCUUGUCCCCCGUACCAUGGACGCGUCGAUCUGAGCCAGGAGGCGGGGGUUGUUCUGUUCCACUGCUUCCAGGCACUGCAGCAUGGCCGUGACGUGAGCGUCACUUAGCAGGAAGGCAGCAUCUGGGGAGAGAAAAGCUGCCACAGUGAUAGAGCCCAUCAGGGAGGCCUUGAGAGAAGCUUGAGGAAGCAGAAAGGGAGAGGUAAGGAUGAAUGAGGAGGAGGGUGAAGGCAGAUCAGAAACAAAGUAGAGGAGAGGCUGAAGAACGCGAGGUGCAGCAAAAUGGCCAGGGCAAGAGGCUUCAACGUCAGAAAAAUCCAGAUUUGAAUCCUGGCUCUGAGUGACUUUGGCCAAGUCGCCUAACCUCCUGGAGCCCUGCGGAUUGGAAACAGUAGCACCAAUGCCCAACUCUCGGGGCUGCUGUGAAGAUACUGGACAGCAGUGACGGGCACACAGGAAACUCGUGGUAAAUGGUGGCUAUUCUUACGGUUUGUGUGUGUGGCCGUAGGGGACGACCUUAACCUAAAGUUGGAUUGUGUCUUACUUGGGAGGUGAGAGGUAAGUCUGGAUAUAUGUUUCUGAGUAGAAUCCCUAUGGCAUCAAGUGAAAAACAGGAAGCC
rnacentral:lncRNA from 1 species